rnacentral:rRNA from 1 species
UAAAUUGAGAGUUUGAUCCUGGCUCAGGAUGAACGCUGGCGGCGUGCUUAACACAUGCAAGUCGAGCGAUGAAGUUUCCUUCGGGAAACGGAUUAGCGGCGGACGGGUGAGUAACACGUGGGUAACCUGCCUCAUAGAGUGGAAUAGCCUUCCGAAAGGAAGAUUA